UAGAUGGGAUUGGAGAGAGAGGCCAGGAGGAGGGCAAGAUUUGAAGUAACAAAUAGAGCUUUAAGUAGUGAUGGCUCAUGCUUGGCUUUUGCAGCUGCGCUUCCAGAGGAAUUUUCCAAGAGCCCUAUCCUGAUGAGAAAGUGGCAGAAGUGGACAUGAGCAGACUGGACAUCCUUAUAAGCAGAUAUAAACAGUUCUCCGCUUUCUGACUCCCACAUAAUUGGCUCUGAGACCGAGGGAAAAGAAAUCAAACGUCAGCGUCACGCCUCAGAGACUCAAGCCCUCAUGUGAUGGAAAGCAAGCCGGAGCGACGAGACCAUGAGCAUUGUUGAUGUCACGCAAAAGCCGUCCAACUGGGAGGGGAACGGCCGCCACUCUCAGUGAGAUAAGUGUCUGGUUUGGUGAUUGUUGUGCUCAUGGCCCACCUUUCUCCUGCUAGGGACGCCACGUUAGCUGGGGCUGGGUUUGAAGAAAAUGUUCUUGACUAGCUGUGGUUAUGAGGGGGACAAGGUCCCCAUUUUCAGGGUCUGCUCAUUUCUCUGGCCAGGAGCGGUGUCUCCUACGCAACGGAAGGUUGCAUCUAGAAGGAUGACGCCAGGUAGUGAGUUGCUUGCUUUCCUCCCAUGUCUUUCUAUCUGUCUGUCUCUCUCUCUUCUCUAGUGUGUUGGCCAACUUUCUCGCUGACUCUCCUCUCCUCUCCUCUCCUUGUGCCGUCUCCCUUCGUAGGAAACGCGCAGGCAUGCUAGGUGUGCAUCCUAGCCAGGUCUCGGGAGCCAUGGAGAAGUAGGAGCGGACGAAAACCAUGAGGGGCAGUGGGCACUAAAGUGGAGCUGUGACUGUCUGUGUUUACUUAGUUUCUGUUCAUCGAGUGGGGCUGAUGUAGAUGGGACUGGAGAGGGAGGCAGGGAUGAGGGCAAGACUCGACGCCCCAAUAGAGCUCUGUGUAGUGAUAGUUCUUGCUUGGCUUUAUUAGUUUGCGGAGGAAUCGUCCAGGAGCCCUAGCCGGACAAGAAUAUGGCAGAAGUGGACCUGAGCAGUCUGGACAUCCUUCUAAGGAGAUAUGAAUAGUCCUCAUGUUUCUGCCUUCUGCAUCGCUGGCUGUGAGUAAGAGGUUUAGAGCCAAGGAAAACGAAGUCACGCGUCAGAGUCUACUGCCCUCAUGCGAUGGAAAGCGAGCGAGAGCGUUGAGACUCUGAGCAUUGUUGAUGCCACUCAAAAGCCGUCCAUCUGGG